GAUGAACGCUGGCGGCGUGCCUAAUACAUGCAAGUCGAGCGAACAGACGAGGAGCUUGCUCCUCUGACGUUAGCGGCGGACGGGUGAGUAACACGUGGAUAACCUACCUAUAAGACUGGGAUAACUUCGGGAAACCGGAGCUAAUACCGGAGAAUAUAUUGAACCGGAUGGUUCAAUAGUGAAAGACGGUUUUGCUGACACUUAUAGAUGGAUCCGCGCCGCAUUAGCUAGUUGGUAAGGUAACGGCUUACCAAGGCAACGAUGCGUAGCCGACCUGAGAGGGUGAUCGGCCACACUGGAACUGAGACACGGUCCAGACUCCUACGGGAGGCAGCAGUAGGGAAUCUUCCGCAAUGGGCGAAAGCCUGACGGAGCAACGCCGCGUGAGUGAUGAAGGUCUUCGGAUCGUAAAACUCUGUUAUUAGGGAAGAACAAAUGUGUAAGUAACUAUGCACGUCUUGACGGUACCUAAUCAGAAAGCCACGGCUAACUACGUG
rnacentral:rRNA from 1 species